AUAUUCAAUCAACAUUCUUAUACUGCAUGCAUGCUGAAUGUGAUUUAUGUUCCAUGUUAAGGAUGCGAGUAAGAUGGCACCAACAACAGCAGCAGAAAGGCAAAGGAAGUAUCGUGAACGCCUUAAAGCUGAUCCUGAAAGAAGGGAGAGAAACCUGCAGAGUGAGCGUGAGAGAUGGAGAAAGAAUGUAGAGAUAGGGAAGAAGAAAGCAAUUAAUGAAUUGAGUAAAAGAGAACAGCGUAAGAAAAGAAAAAUGUGGAGAGCAGCUUAUCAUAUCCUCCACAGAGUCCUUAUCAGGGAGAUCACCCAGAGCAGCCUUCACAGCCAAGAUCUUCAAGGCAACGUCUGGUGGCUCGGAAAAAGUACAGAACAGAAAAAAAUAAGCUCAAGAGGCAAAUAGCGGAACUCCAGGAAAAACUUG